CCCCUUUUCCCCUAAACAAAAAACUAGAUGAAUAGCUGCACUUGGACAUUGGCUCCGUCACUGGCCUUGGGGAAACUAGAGGAGGUUUCGGCAAGGUGAAGGACCUGACAAGAAAAAAGACAUCUGUGGCAAAUAGUUUGCAAAAAUUCAGCAAUAUCAACGACGCUACCAACAACAAUUAAGGCAUCAAAAGUGUUCCAUGCAUCAGUGAAAUAGUGCUGUUAGGACAAGCAUUGAGCAGAAAGAGGGCAAGAGAAAAACAGAAAAAGAGAAGAAAAGGACAGUGUUAUAACACAGAAACAUUCUAGACUCAUCUGAUGUACCAGUAAACAUUCUUUUCCUUUCAAGUCUGAGAAGUGUACAUGGCUAUUUAUUUCCCAUAUCAACAGAACUGUGCUAUGACUGGUCUGUAUUCAAAGCUUAGAAAUAUCAGAUCAAAAUCUGUGACUUGUCCAGAUGAUGGAAAUAGUGGGGUGACCGG